rnacentral:rRNA from 1 species
UUGCGGUUAAAAAGCUCGUAGUUGGAUUUCUGUCGAGAACGCGCGGUCCACGCUUUGCGUGAGCAUCUGUGUCGGUCUUGGCAUCCUCUAGAGGAUCGUUUCUGCGCUUGAUUGCGUGGAGCGGAACUCUAGACUUUUACUUUGAGGAAAUUAGAGUGUUCACGGCAGGCAAACGCUUUGAAUACAUUAGCAUGGAAUAAUAACAUAGGACCUUGGUUCUAUUUUGUUGGUUUCUAGAGCUGAGGUAAUGAUUAAUAGGGAUAAUUGGGGGCAUUCGUAUUAACGCGUCAGAGGUGGAAUUCUUGGAUUGCGUUACGACGAACUACUGCGAAAGCAUUUGCCAAGGAUGUUUUCAUUGAUCAAGAACGAAAGUUAGGGGAUCGAAGACGCUUAGAUACCGUCGUAGUCUUAACCAUAAACUAUGCCGACUAGAGAUUGGAGGUCGUUUUUUUUAUGACUCCUUCAGCACCUUAUGAGAAAUCAAAGUCUUUGGGUUCCGGGGGGAGUAUGGU